GGUGAGCGCACAUUGCACUACUUCAGUGUAGAGAUAAGACAGGAUUGGUUUUCUGAAUGUAUAUCAUAUAAUAUCUAAAUUGGUAGCUAAUCCAGCUGUUUUAUGAUUCUGUCUUGCAUUGAAUUACUCUAUAUUAGUUUUUCUCUGAAUUUAGCUCCUAACACCCAUUGUCUUUUGAGGUGGUUGAGAAUUUGUCUAUACAAGCAAAUGUAACUGUCAGCAAUUGAAGAGGUACCAGAGUCGGGGUUUUUUUGUGCCAAGAAGGUUAUGCUGCAGCUUCAUGUGCUAUGUUUUUAUCCUCUGAAAGUAUAUGCAGUAUUAUCUGAGAUUAGCGCACUUUGCACGGUAGCUAAUCCAGCUGUUUUGUGAUUAUGUCUUGCAUUAAAUUACUCUGUAUAUUAGUUUUUCUCUGAAUUUAGCUCCAAAUGAACGUUUGAGAUGUGAUAGAUUGGAAGCUGAAUCAGUGUGUAUAUUUGAUUUUUCCUACCUGGUAGUUCCCGAUAGUAUUUUUUCCCUUCACUAUAUGAGUGUGAGACCUUCUGGUUGAUGCAGAUGCUAAUUUGCAUGGAGCGUGCCUCAGUUCUGCAACUUGCUGGCCUCCUCCGCUUAUUCUCUACUAGCCAAUGGAGGAUGGCACAUAGCAGUGCAGAUCGUAAUGACUGCCCACGAGAAGACAUAAAUCAGGAAGUAUGCGGAGCGGUGUGGGCAUGUAGAAACACAUUAAGCUACAAGCGUGCUAUAUUUUUCUUUCUGGACUAGGCAUACGCUAGCUUGGAGAUCUACACACGUGGAAGGCUGAGGUUAUUUCACCGUGCCUCUUAAAGGUUUAGGUCAGUUCAGCAUGUUGGUGGAAGAACUCAUACCUCACCUUUUCGCCCUUGAUUUGAUUAUAGUACAGGCUCCUCCUAUGAGACUUGCCAUGCUUUUUCAGAUAUUUCUAUGUUGGUGAUGCUACCGGCAGAGACAACAAUCAUAGCAACACCGAUAUAGAAUUUCCUAAGGUGUAGGAUUCAAUUUGCAGCUGCAGAAUUUCUACGAUUCAAGCUUCUGAGGUAUGGCAUGCACAUCUGCUAUUAUCGAAAAGGUCCAACCAUGGAGCUAUCAGUACAUGUGAUGCUUGCUCCCUUACAAAUGAACAGGCGCUUCUACAAAUUGGACUAUGUAGUGGCUGAGUCAAAUUGCUGCUGAUGCCUGCAGGCUGAAGAGAUCUCUACUCCUUUUGUUCCUGCCGAAAAGGCUA